ACAUGCCUACAACAUAGCAUUAAUGCACCAGAUCCCAUUAGAACUCCACAGUGAAGGGCACUCAAGCUAGAGUAGUACUGGGAUGGUUGACUACUUGGGAGGUCCUAGUGUUUUACAUGCC
rnacentral:rRNA from 1 species